GAAGCCAUUGAAAGGUGA
rnacentral:snRNA from 1 species